CUGACCGCUAUCGGAUUGAUACUAAGCCAUGCGAGUCAUUGUAGUAAUACAAGGCAGACGGCUCAGUAACGCGUAGUCAACCUAACCUAUGGACGGGAAUAACCUCGGGAAACUGAGUAUAAUGCCCGAUAGAACAUUAUGCCUGGAAUGGUUUAUGUUCCAAAUGAUUUAUCGCCGUAGGAUGGGACUGCGGCCUAUCAGUUUGUUGGUGAGGUAAUGGCCCACCAAGACUAUUACAGGUACGGGCUCUGAGAGGAGUAGCCCGGAGAUGGGUACUGAGACACGGACCCAGGCCCUAUGGGGCGCAGCAGGCGAGAAAACUUUGCAAUGUACGAAAGCACGACAAGGUUAAUCCGAGUGGUUUCUGCUAAAGGAACCUUUUGUCGGUCCUAGAAACACCGAUGAAUAAGGGGUGGGCAAGUUCUGGUGUCAGCCGCCGCGGUAAAACCAGCACCUCAAGUGGUCAGGAUGAUUAUUGGGCCUAAAGCAUCCGUAGCCGGCUCUAUAAGUUUUCGGUUAAAUCUGUACGCUCAACGUACAGGCUGCCGGGAAUACUGUAGAGCUAGGGAGUGGGAGAGGUAGACGGUACUCGGUAGGAAGGGGUAAAAUCCUUUGAUCUAUUGAUGACCACCUGUGGCGAANGCGGUCUACCAGAACACGUCCGACGGUGAGGGAUGAAAGCUGGGGGAGCAAACCGGAUUAGAUACCCGGGUAGUCCCAGCUGUAAACUAUGCAAACUCAGUGAUGCAUUGGCUUGUGGCUAA
rnacentral:rRNA from 1 species